rnacentral:ribozyme from 1 species
GAACUCAAAUAACUCCUGUUAAAUCCUGGUCAUACUCCCCAGCUUCAGACGUAAGAUCAAGCCACGGGUAUGCAGGAAUUGUCAACUUAGGCUGUA